rnacentral:rRNA from 1 species
GAUGAACGCUGGCGGCGUGCCUAAUACAUGCAAGUCGAGCGAACGGACGAGAAGCUUGCUUCUCUGAUGUUAGCGGCGGACGGGUGAGUAACACGUGGAUAACCUACCUAUAAGACUGGGAUAACUUCGGGAAACCGGAGCUAAUACCGGAUAAUAUUUUGAACCGCAUGGUUCAAAAGUGAAAGACGGUCUUGCUGUCACUUAUAGAUGGAUCCGCGCUGCAUUAGCUAGUUGGUAAGGUAACGGCUUACCAAGGCAACGAUGCAUAGCCGACCUGAGAGGGUGGUCGGCCGCACUGGAACGGGAACACGGUCCAGACUCCUACGGGAGGCAGCAGUAGGGAAUCUUCCGCAAUGGACGAAAGCCUGACGGAGCAACGCCGCGUGAGUGAUGAAGGUCUUCGGAUCGUAAAACUCUGUUAUUAGGGAAGAACAUAUGUGUAAGUAACUGUGCACAUCUUGACGGUACCUAAUCAGAAAGCCACGGCUAACUACGUG